AUUGACCGCUGGCGGCAGGCCUAACACAUGCAAGUCGAACGAGUGGCGGACGGGUGAGUAAUGUCUGGGAAACUGCCCGAUGGAGGGGGAUAACUACUGGAAACGGUAGCUAAUACCGCAUACCAUCGGAUGUGCCCAGAUGGGAUUAGCUUGUAGGUGAGGUAACGGCUCACCUAGGCGACGAUCCCUAGCUGGUCUGAGAGGAUGACCAGCCACACUGGACAUGUGAAACGGUCCAGACUCCGCCGGGAGGCAGCAGUGGGGAAGAUUGCACAAGUGGCGCAAGCCUGAGGCAGCCAUGCAGCGUGUAUGAUGAAGGCAUUCGGGUUGUAAAGUACUUUUAGCGGGGAGGCGUUACCCGCAGAAGAAGCACCGGCUAACUCCGGGACAGCCGCCGCGGUAAUAC
rnacentral:rRNA from 1 species